rnacentral:piRNA from 1 species
UGUUCAUUCUAGUGGCAUUGUGAUAGGCCU